CUUGGUCAUUUAGAGGAAGUAAAAGUCGUAACAAGGUCUCCGUUGGUGAACCAGCGGAGGGAUCAUUACCGAGUUUACAACUCCCAAACCCCUGUGAACAUACCUAUACGUUGCCUCGGCGGAUCAGCCCGCGCCCUGUAAAAAGGGACGGCCCGCCCGAGGACCCUAAACUCUGUUUUUAGUGGAACUUCUGAGUAAAACAAACAAAUAAAUCAAAACUUUCAACAACGGAUCUCUUGGUUCUGGCAUCGAUGAAGAACGCAGCAAAAUGCGAUAAGUAAUGUGAAUUGCAGAAUUCAGUGAAUCAUCGAAUCUUUGAACGCACAUUGCGCCCCCUGGUAUUCCGGGGGGCAUGCCUGUUCGAGCGUCAUUUCACCACUCAAGCCUCGCUUGGUAUUGGGCGACGCGGUCCGCCGCGCGCCUCAAAUCGACCGGCUGGGUCUUCUGUCCCCUCAGCGUUGUGGAAACUAUUCGCUAAAGGGUGCCCGGGAGGCUACGCCGUAAAACAACCCCAUUUCUAAGGUUGACCUCGGAUCGGGUAGGGAUACCCGCUGAACUUAAGCAUAUCAAUAAGCGGA
rnacentral:rRNA from 1 species